AGCGAACGCUGGCGGCAGGCCUAACACAUGCAAGUCGAACGAAGUCUUCGGACUUAGUGGCGGACGGGUGAGUAACACGUGGGAACGUACCUUUUGGUUCGGAACAACUCAGGGAAACUUGAGCUAAUACCGGAUGAGCCCUCAGGGGGAAAGAUUUAUCGCCGAAAGAGCGGCCCGCGUUAGAUUAGCUAGUUGGUGAGGUAAAGGCUCACCAAGGCUACGAUCUAUAGCUGGUCUGAGAGGAUGAUCAGCCACACUGGGACUGAGACACGGCCCAGACUCCUACGGGAGGCGGCAGUGGGGAAUCUUGCGCAAUGGGCGAAAGCCUGACGCAGCCAUGCCGCGUGAAUGAUGAAGGUCUUAGGAUUGUAAAAUUCUUUUACCAGGGACGAUAAUGACGGUACCUGGAGAAAAAGCCCCGGCUAACCUCGUGCCAGCAGCCGCCGUAA
rnacentral:rRNA from 1 species